GGAGGAAAGCAGGGGAUCGCAAGACCUUGCACUUUUGGAGCGGCCGAUGUCUGAUUAGCUAGUUGGUGGGGUAAUGGCCUACCAAAGCUUCGAUCAGUAGCUGGUCUGAGAGGACGGCCAGCCACACUGGGACUGAGACACGGCCCAGACUCCUACGGGAGGCAGCAGUGGGGAAUUUUGGACAAUGGGGGCAACCCUGAUCCAGCCAUGCCGCGUGAGUGAAGAAGGCCUUCGGGUUGUAAAGCUCUUUCAGACGGGAAGAAACGGUCACGGUUAAUAGCUGUGGCUAAUGACGGUACCGUCAGAAGAAGCACCGGCUAACUACGUGCCAGCAGCCGCGGUAAUACGUAGGGUGCGAGCGUUAAUCGGAAUUACUGGGCGUAAAGGGUGCGCAGGCGGUUUUGUAAGUCAGAUGUGAAAUCCCCGGGCUUAACCUGGGAACUGCGUUUGAAACUACAAGGCUAG
rnacentral:rRNA from 1 species